rnacentral:rRNA from 1 species
AUUGAACGCUAGCGGGAUGCCUUACACAUGCAAGUCGAACGGAGUGGCGAACGGGUGAGUAAUGUAGGGGAACGUGCCCAGUAGCGGGGGAUCACUACGAGAAGGCGAAGAUAAUACCACAUGCGAUGGGAGCGGCCGAGAGCGGAUUAGCUAGUUGGAGGGGGAACGGCUCAGCAAGGCGACGAACCAUAGCUGGUUUGAGAGGACGACCAGCCACACUGGGACUGAGACACGGCCCAGACUCCUACGGGAGGCAGCAGUGGGGAAUUUUGGACAAUGGGGGAAACCCUGACCCAGCAAUCCCGCGUGUGCGAUGAAGGCCUUCGGGUUGUAAAGCACUUUUGGCAGGAAAGCGGUACCUGCAGAAUAAGCACCGGCUAACUACGUGCCAGCAGCCGCGGUAAUUC